ensembl:lncRNA
GAUACAGUUUGGAAAUCAACUUUGGAGGUUUGUCAGACUGGCUUAAAAUAGCAUCUGGCUUGUCCAGUGUUUGCUGCGCAGAGAGAAUACGGUGUUGUAUCUGCAAAAAUUCACCUCAGCUCCAUCACAGACUGGUCUUCUCUGGCUGCCUGACCCUGUUGAGACCCUUGUCACCAUCUGAUCCUUCUAAGGCAGAGAAAAGAGGAGAAGAACGAAGGAGGAAAGGAGUGGAGAGGGAAGGACAGGAAAGUAACAGAAAG